rnacentral:rRNA from 1 species
UACGUAGGUGGCAAGCGUUGUCCGGAAUCACUGGGCGUAAAGGGCGCGUAGGUGGCCUGUUAAGUCGAACGUGAAAUCCCCGGGCUCAACCCGGGAACUGCGUCCGAGACUGGCAGGCUCGAAUCCGGGAGAGGGAUGUGGAAUUCCAGGUGUAGCGGUGAAAUGCGUAGAUAUCUGGAGGAACACCGGUGGCGAAGGCGGCAUCCUGGACCGGUAUUGACGCUGAGGCGCGAAAGCCAGGGGAGCAAACGGG